rnacentral:rRNA from 1 species
UACGUAGGUGGCAAGCGUUGUCCGGAAUUAUUGGGCGUAAAGCGCUCGCAGGUGGUUCGUUGCGUCGUGCGUGAAAGACCCCGGCUCAACUGGGGGAUGUCGUGCGAUACGGGCGGACUGGAGGCCAGUAGGGGGAUGCGGAAUUCCGGGUGUAGUGGUGGAAUGCGUAGAGAUCCGGAGGAACACCAGCGGCGAAGGCGGCAUCCUGGACUGGUCCUGACACUCAGGAGCGAAAGCGUGGGGAGCGAGUCCGG